rnacentral:rRNA from 1 species
GCAGCGACGCCGCGUGAGGGAUGACGGCCUUCGGGUUGUAAACCUCUUUCAGCAGGGACGAAUUUGACGGUACCUGUAGAAGAAGCAC